ensembl:lncRNA
UUUUUUUUUAAAAAAAAAAUUAUUUAUUUUUUAACCAGGUCAAAGCAUUACAUACUGCAGAAGAGAAAGCAACUUCAACUUCUCUUAAACGGUGUCAUUUUCAUGACAGCUCGUAAAUUUUAGCCCCCUAUGGGUCCAUGGUCUGCGCGCAUCCGCCCGGGGAGUUGUUGGUGGAUCCAUCCCUCAUGGCGCAGUAGCAAGGGGAUCCUUUAGAAAAAGCAAUGGGCGAAGUAACUGAAAGAGCCACGCAGAAAGCAACAGCCAGAAACGGCGGGGACGCGAGCGGCCCAGACAGGAAGGGAGGCGGUGGCGCAGCUCUGGUGCGCAGUGCGCCGCAGCGACGGAACUUCUGCAAAAGCUGCCUGCCCGCGCGUUAUCAGCGGCGCGCAGGCCUGUGGUUUUCUCGCUCUCGCAACCCUGCUUUAACUGCCGGUUUAUUUUUCGACAAACAGGAUGCCUCCAUCUGAGGCUGUCAGCAUCCCAGGCUCUUUGAAAGAAAAGAGGUAGAGCGGCCCCACCCUAGAGGCAAGGACCGGGGUCUGUGUCAAGAGGCUUCCCAGAGAAGUGAAAACUCUGCAGGUGCAGCCGCUGGGACAGCAUCAAGAAGGGCAGGGUGGAGGGGCAGGGGGCGACGGGAGGGGGUGAAGCCCGCACCCUACCCCCACAUGAAACUGAUUCCACUGCCCCAUCUCUGCAAGUGUUCUGAGGCAGAGAGGCCAACAUUUCGGGGACAGCUUGGAGGCGGGAGAUUUAGGACAGGGCUCCUUAAACUUUAAUGUGUAUGAAAAUCAGGCAAAUCACGGGGCUCUUGAACAAAUGGGGACGAUGAUUCAGCAGGUCUGGGCUGGGGCCUAAGAGUCUGCACUUCUAACAAGUUCCCAGGUGGUGGUGAUGCUGCCAGUCCAAAGACCACAUUGUGAAUAGCAAGGCGUCGAGACAGUCUGCUUUAGAGUAAAACCUAAUAGAUGUGCAAAUAUUUAAACCAAGCUGUAUUUAUUCCUGAGGCCCUGGUUUAACAGGAGCCACCUUGCUAAUGGAAAAUGGAAAAUGAAAUUCCUUUAGGUUCCAAAGGGAAGGAACGUUUGAAAUGGUUAAGGUAUUAAAAAAAUCCCAGCUGGGAGUGGCCUUGGGGAUUCAGGAGAGUUUAGGUUAGGUUCUGAGCCAAGAGAUGGGGGAGGAAGGGUGAGAUGUGGCAAAUAAAUGUAAACACACACACAAAAACCCCAGCCCGACCACAGGUUCUUUCCUAUCAAUGAAACAUUUGCAACUUGCAGGUACAACUCACACGUGUCCACAUUUUUCAGAAGUUGGAUAGUUUUGUGUAAUGGUACAGAAUCUGGAGCCCAUAUUUGAAUAUUCUACACCCAAUGUGAUCUCAGACUGGCUUUAAGAUCUUGUGGCCUACAUUUAAAAAUGUAUGUUUUUGAGUCAUGUUUAAUUAGUAAUAGUAUCUGAGAACUGAGAGACUAAGAAAUCCAUGGUAUGUGAAUAAAAUCUCCAGACAGUAGCUAGAACACAGAGAUCCCUCCAGAGGCAGUGCUAGUGGUCAGCUGUAAAAAUAGGUUCUGCUCAGUUUUGCUUAGGCCUGAAGUUUCCUGAAGAUUUCAUUUAGACUUCAUCAAAACCAGUCAAAGACUUCCUGUUACAGAAAGGUUCUCAAAGUAUGGCUGGGACUACAGGGCUAUUAAGAUGCAGAUUCUUGGGCCUCUCUGCCUGACUCAUCAUGGUUUCUCAGGGUGGGUGCCAGGAACCUACAUUUUAACAAACGCUGUGAGGAUUCUUAUGUACUGCCAAGUUUAGGAGCCCCUGGUCUGCAGGUUUAAGUUCAGCCUUCUCACUGCAGCAUUCAAAGACCUGACUUCAAUUUUGCUAUUCACAGGCGAGCCUCAGUGACUUCUUUACUGCCCCUGAGCAUUCCUGGAGCCACCUGGCUGCCUCAUUCAUUUCUUCUCCUUUGUCUUCCCCAGCCCUGGAAUAAAAUGACUUCCAUCUUCCUCUCCGAACCCUCUUCAGAUCACGGCUUCCCAUUCAGCAAGCAGUUACUUUCCUGGUCCACCACUGCUGUGGUAUUGAUGAUAGCCUACUCAAUUCUCAUUUUGUUGACUGAAUAUUUCUCAUGCUUAGGCUUUGCCUCCCUGACCAGACAGUAAGUUCUCUGAAACCAUUUCAUGCUAUAUAAUCUUUAUGGUCAAGACUGCUUUCUAACACAGUGUCACGUCCACAUGGAUCAUUCAGUAAAUUUACUGAUGGCUUAUCUAUCACCAACAUGUUUUACAGAGUGUUAUUAAGCAGGGACACUCUCUGUGGGUCUAGAAUCAGAAGAAGCUGGGAAGGGAAAUGGGGUAGUGGUGAGAGUGUCAUGAGAAUCUGGUUAUACGGUCAUCAAAGACACAGAGGAAGUGGGAAAAAGGGAACGUAGACCCCCCGCUCAUCUGUCUGCAGUGUGAAUUGGAGAGGAUGUUCCUUUUUGUUUAAUAUAGUUAAUUUUUCACUUGAAAUUGAGGUCACCAAACCUAUGAACCAGACAAUGGAUGCUUGCCCUUCACUCUCACUGCCUAGUGAUGGAGCUCUUGGUGGCUUCUCUCCGCUCUGGCUGGCUUCCCUUCUUCCUUUCUGCCUGAUGGGUUGUCAACUCAAACGCCCAACUCUCAGCUCAAGUUAAAGGAAAUUUCAAGUGUAUUACAUAUAAUGAAGCAGAUUGAAAGCACGGUAGUAUACUAGUAAGUUAGCUUAACAUGGUUUAGUGGAAAGCAAUCAAUACACCUCAGUUCUGAUCCUGACACAGCUAGCAUCAUUGGCCACGUCACCUUGGUUUUCUUGCUUAGCCUUUCUGAGCUUCAGAAUUUUUGUUAUCUAAACUCUGAGCCUGAGCCUCAUUGUUUUCAUUAACAGAACCAGCAUAACAAUGUUGGCUUCUAAGGCAUUGGGCAGGUGAGUGGGGUAGGAAUGGAGACCACCUGAGAGAGCCUGGCACACAGUUGGUGCUGGCAACCUACAGGGCCCCAGCCCUUGGCGAGGUUUCUUUUUGGAGAAAUGCUUCCUAGUGUUCCUAGCCAUUCCCUGCCUUAGGCACCUUCACUACCUUCCCAGUCACAGGCCUACUGCUCUUCCUGGUCCAGCUUGCUGGUCCUAGUGCUUAGCUUCUCUCUUAAGGGGAUCUUUUGACCUCUGUAGGAAUUUCUUCCCUCUUGGGCUUCAGGCAUAUUUCUAUUGGUCACCUGGCACCCUCCUCACCACUUCAGUGGUGCCCCCAACUCUGCUUCUAGGACUCUGGCAAGUUCUACUCUCCUCUCCUCAACCUUUAACCUGUGAUAUGGUAGGUCUGUCUCCAGCCCUGACUCUUUAGGCUGGGUUCUCUUGUGCUCUGUCAGUCUUCUUCCUUUUCCUCUGACACUCAAAAUCCGUAGAGAGUCUUCAUACCGUAGAUUUAAGGUGAUAGCUUCCUCCUUCGAAUGAUACAGCAAUUAGUAUCCCCUUUUAUCAUGCUAAGUUACCCAUCAUAGAUACCGGACCAUGAAAGGCCUUGAAGAUCCCCAAGUGAUUAUGGCCACCUUAGCUUCUCAGGCCCUUCAGAUCCUCUGUCUCCUAUUUGACAUGUACUUGUGUUCUGCUCUGAAGACCUGCACAAUUGCUUUCCCAUUUUUUUUUGCUGUUGUUGGUGGUGGUGGCGGGGGGUGGGGGGUACUUUCCAGAAAGUAAAACACCAAAAGUAGAAGGACAGAAACACAUCUCUACAACCACGAUCCUGGUCAUAGUACGAGGUUGCAUUUGUCAGCCUUGUCACGAUCACAUUUCUGUUCCGUGCAUUGUGGGCUGUUUGGUAGCAUCUUUGGCAUCUGCCUACUGGAUGCUAGUACAGUCCCCUCUACCCCCUGAGUUGUGACAACUAGAAAUGUCUCCAGACUGUGCCAAAUGACCCCCUUCCUCCUCACACUGCCUCCUUCUUCCAGUUAAAACCACUGGUGAGGCCGGGCGCGGUGGCUCUCGUCUGUAAUCCCAGCACUUUGGGAGGCUGAGGCGGGCAGGUCACAAGGUCAGAAGAUCGAGACCAUCCUGGCUAACACGGUGAAACCCUGUCUCUACUAAAAAUACAAAAAAUUAGCCAGGAGCGGUGGCGGGUGCCUGUAGUCCCAGCUACUCGGAGGCUGAGGCAGGAGAAUGGCGUGAACCCGGGAGGCAGAGCUUGCAGUGAGCCAAGAUCGUGCCACUGCACUCCAGCCUGGGCGACAGAGUGAGACUCUGUCUCAAAAAAA